AGAACGUUGUAGAGUGAACAAGAGGUGUUAAGGGAAUGGAAAAGGGGAAUUUAAAAAUACCCAUCAGGGGGUCACGUGACAAAGGAACGAACGACUCGGACCAGAAAAUAUGACUCUCUUUGUUAUUAGUAGUCGCUGAAUUGCUAAACGUCCCCGACCCUGAACCCUUAAGGGUUACCACAGCAGGCCGAUCGGAAACCUCUGAACAAACUUUGAACCGGCCUAAAAGCGACACCUUCCUCUUCAAGCUCAAGGUGAACCAGAGAGGUUAAGCGAACUCGUCGUCGUCGGAGAACUUUACCGUCAUCCUCUUCAUCCUCCUCUUCAUUAGCCCCUUACGAGAGUCAUAGACGAAGAAGAUAAAGAAGAAGAUCGAGCCACAGGAGCGUUUUCAGGCAGGAUCG